GUAAGACCGGGGGUACGCGGCGAUAGCGGCGGCCGUUGCGAUUGAUUGCGCUGGUUGCCUCCGGAGUCCACUUCCUUGGCCGCCCUUGCUACACUGGCUGAUUGUUGUGCAGCUGGCGCCAUGUCUGUGAGCGAGAUCUUCGUGGAGCUGCAGGGCUUUUUGGCUGCCGAGCAGGACAUCCGAGAGGAAAUCAGAAAAGUUGUACAGAGUUUAGAACAAACAGCUCGAGAGAUUUUAACUCUACUGCAAGGGGUCCAUCAGGGUGCUGGGUUUCAGGACAGUAAGUUCUUUGUUUUGUAUCCAAUUAUCAGUCUCUUAUUUAGAGGGAGAGUUUCUAUCCAGAAGACAUUUUAUAAUGAAAAAUGGCUAUCGUGCUUUAUGGUGAGUAAAAAUUGAAGAAGUAGGUGAUUUGAUAAUUUUGGUUGAUUUUUCUUCCACUUCCACACAGUAUGGUUUAAACAGAGAUGUUUUCUAUUGUGAGGGCAUUCUACUGAUGAUAAUUACAAUUGCUUAACCCAUUUCCUGUAAAGUGCAGCUCUCUGCCA
rnacentral:sRNA from 1 species